UACGUAGGGUGCAAGCGUUGUCCGGAAUUAUUGGGCGUAAAGAGCUCGUAGGCGGUCUGUCGCGUCUGCUGUGAAAACUCAGGGCUUAACCCUGAGCUUGCAGUGGGUACGGGCAGACUAGAGUGCGGUAGGGGGAGACUGGAAUUCCGUGGUGUAGCGGUGAAAUGCGCAGAUAGUCAGGAGGAACACCGGUGGCGAAGGCGGCAUCCUGGACCGAUGAC
rnacentral:rRNA from 1 species